AUUCGGAUAUAUAAAAUAUGUAAGUUUGGUAAAAGCAAUAAAUAAUUUACAGUUUUUAAAAUAUGGUAAAUUAUUAAUCGCUUUCUAAAUAUGGCAAAUUAUUUAUCACAUAGAUCUAGUUUUAUAAAUAAAAAUGUUGAAUGUCUAUUUUUAGAAUUAAAAAAAUUCUAUAACCUUGCACACCCAAACACCCCAUUUACAUUUCUUUUAAAUUUUUAAUCUGGAAAAGUAGUAAGAUUAGUUAAAAAAAAAUAUUAGGUCCGAUUAAACCCCACACAUUAUAUGAGUAGGGCGUUUUCAUCCGCCACAUCGAAAUAAUUGAUGGAGAAACUCUCUCUAUUAGAUAAAUAGGGUGUAAUAUGUACACACCUUUUUGCGUAUAUGAGUAGCGUUGCUCAAAGCAAUAAAAAUUAUUACCGAUACACUUCAGUUGAAUAUAUAUCAUCCGUCUCACUCAUUUUAUGAGUAGAGUGUUUACCAAAACUAUCUGUGCACCACAAAUGUAGUUGUAAACCUUACACUAUUUCCAUUUUGGAUUGAAAAGGUCUAAGAUUUACACCCAAAAGCUAAAUAUACAAAUAGCACUUUUCAAUAGAAAAAUUUAAAAAAUGACUUACUACAAAAAAAAAUUAAAUAAAUAAAGUCAUUUUUGCAUUUUGGUGCUUUUUUUUUUUUAGAGAGAGAGAGAUAGGCAGCACGCUACCCGUUUCGUUUAUUUCAUUUAGAAAUAAACUUAGCUAGAAAUGUGAAUCAACUAGGAUUCGAAUUUGGGUCUCGGAUAUCAACCACCAAGCCCUUUGCCACUUGCUCUAGGAAUGGUCAGUUUUUAGUGUUUUUUUUUUAAUCAUUGUGUAGUAUCCUUAUACCUAUGUAUAGGAUGACACGUGCCCCCAUGCAUGCAUGCAUGCAUGCUUAUUCAUCAGAGGGUUGCAACAUCUGCCUCUUUAAUUAACUUUGCAUUUUCUUCUCUCUCUCUCUCUAGAACCGAGUGUGUGCAAGGUGGAGUUCGGGUGGAGUUUCGUCGCCGACGUGGUGCCGCGGAGCCGUUCGGGCGCACGUUGUGUCGUAUUGGUGCUGUGAGGAGCUUGGGCGGGCGUGGAUUUCCGUCGUCCUCGACUUUGCGCCGACUCUUGAGGAUCUAUCGAGGUGAGUGCUCUGUGGAANGGUACUUUGACGCUUCGUAUACAGGGGAAAUUCCUUUGUAUACGGCGGAUUUGUCGGCGUGCCCGGGGAACGAGAUAUCCGGGGCGUGACACAUUGCCCAUCCAUUGGACAAGUAAUGUGUAAGAUAUAUAUUUCUUUUUUGAUGUAUCGGUAACAUUGCUUGAAAGAAAAUACUAUUUAUACACCACAAAAAUGAGUGUGAAUUUUACACCAUUAUUAUAUUAGAUGGGGAGGAUAUAAGAUCUAUACCCAAACGCUAAGUGCACAAGAAGCAUUUUUCAAUAAAAAAUAAAGUGACUUACUAAAAUAAAUAAAUAAAUAAAGGUAUUUCUAAAUUUUUGUGUUUUUUCUUAAUCAUUGUCCAUAGGCUUCAUAACCUUUUUCAUCCUAGCAAUACUAUUAGGUAUCGUUUGGUUCGGGGAUAAGCAAAAAAUAGGUAUUCCAGGGAUAGGUAUAAAUUGAGGUACAAGCGGGCAUUAGAUCAAUUUUACGUUUGGAUGAAAAUUAGGUUAUUUCUGGAAAUAAGAAAAAUAAAGUUUGGUUAGGAAAGAUGGAAUAAGAAUUAAAGUGGGUAGUUAUAAAUAAAAAUUAAUAAUAUUAUUUCUUUCUUUAUAUUAGAAUUUAAAUUUUUAUAUUUUAUAUUUAUAUUUUAAAAUUUAAAAUUUUAACUUUUAAAUUUCAAAUUUUGAAAUUAAAAUUUAAAAUUUAAAAUCUCAAAUUUUAAAUUCAAAAUUUAAAUUUUAAAUUUCUAACUUUAAAUUUAAGAUCAAAUUUAAAUUUGAAAAAAAAUAAAAUCAAAUUUAAAAUUUCAAAAAUUUAAAAUUUUAAAAUUUAAAUUUAAAAUUUAAAAUGUGGAAUUUAAAAUUAUAAACUUUAAUUUUGAGAUUACAAAUUUUAAAUUUUAAAUAUAAUUUAUUAUAAUAUUUUAAAUUUUAAAUUUAUUUAAAUUUUAAAUUUUAAUUUAUUUUAAUAUUUAAAUAUAAUUUAUUAUAAAAUUUAUUAUAAUAUUUAAAUAUAAAUAAUAUGUAUUAAUAUAGCACAAUUAAUAAUUUUAUAAUAAAAAUAAUGUAUUAUAAUAUAUAAUAUAUUAUAUUUAUAUAAUUUAGUUUUAAUUUAUUUUAUAAUUUUAAUUAAGUUUGAAAUUAAGCAUGGGAAUAGCACUAUUCCACCAAAAUGGUGGAAUAGUAAAAAGCUUGCUAUUCCGGAAUAACCGGGAAUAGCAAGCUUUGACCGGAAUAAAAUAUCCCGGUAAAAAAUGAUCCCGUUUGGCGGAAUAGCGGGGAUAACUUUCGUUAUCCCCGCUUAUCCCCCGAACCAAACGGGGCCUUAGUCUACAAGUAUACUCUAAAGUGAAAUAUACAUCUUAUGCUUUUUGAUUUAAGGACCAUAUUUUUCACUUUAUUAUAUCAACUUUUUUUUUUAAUAUGCACGUGCAGGGUUAAGACUCCUGCUGUUAAAAAAUCUUCGGGGUAAAUUCCAUGGUACUAGGUUGGUUUGCUUUUCUUUCUUUUUUUUUUUUAAUAGAUAUGUAGCAUGCUACCCGUUUCGAUUAUUUUAUUUAAAAAUAAAUUUAGCUGGAAAUGUGAAUCAACUAAGAUUCGAAGUUGAAACCUCGGGUACCAAUCAUCCAGCCCUUUGCCACUUGCGCUAGGGACGGUCGGUCUGAUUCGGUUUUCUUGAAAAUGAGAUAAUUACACCAACUUUACUCAAUUUUUUCUAGAAUCCAAUUAUAGUAUUAUUAAUAAUAUGUGAAUAAUAUAUAUUAUAAACUUUUUUACCCGUGAAUGUCUAGGAUUUACAAUUUGGUACAGGUGCUUAUUAUGGGCCUAAAGAUUAAAAAUAAAGAAGUAUUCAACAACUAUUGAUAGUAUUUUAGCAGGGCUCUCCGGCAAUAAUAACUUUUUUUUUUUUUUUCUCAGUUGAACUAUUAACAUUUAUUGUGAUCAAUGUUAGCUCUACAACUCUUUUAAAGGGUUGUAAACUCACAACAUCACCCAUCCAAAGGCCAUUUUUUCAUUUAACUUGUCAUGUUUCUUUUUUUUUUAAAAAAAAAAACUAAAAAUAAAGAAAGAUGAGAUAAACGGUAGGCAUUUGUAGCCCUUGAAUCAAUCUUAGCCCCUACUUUUUCAAAAUUUUGAAAAAAAAUUUGAUGACAUGGAAACCAAAAUGCCAAAUGCUGAUAGAGAGUUAGCCCUCCUAAAGAGUUGAAAUGACCAUAUGCUCUCCGAUGGCGCCAACCCCACUCCCGCAUAUUUGUUGACUUAUUUUAGACUACGAAAUCGAAAUAGGAUCAUUGAUUCCAAUAAUUGUGUUUAUUUUACAAAAAUCGGAUUCUCAUUUCUAUUCCACUCUGAAAAGGGAAUGGUCAAAUCUAUUUAUGGCCCACUCCGGCUUUAAAUUCUAAACUAGGCCACUUCAAAAUAAACUACUCAAAAUUCUCGCUCUUAAUCAAAAUCCUCUCUCAAAAUUCUAAAUUUUUAUUCUGAUUUCCAUUCCAAUAAUAAAUCAAAUAUUUUUGGAUAAUUCAUCAAUCCAUUUCUCAUUCCAAAGAAAUCAAUUUUCAAUUUCUAUUCCUAUUUCACUCAUGAACCAAAUAUGCUCUUAAUGUCGCCCUCUGCACCGACAACCAUCUCAACCUUGGUUUAUUAGACCAAUUUUCAUUCCAAAGAUUUGGUUACCUGAGACUAAUAAUAGUAUUGCAGUUGCUGCUGAUGUUAGUUAAGCACCAACCCAAAACCUAAAAAAUUUAUUUGCCAACAACUCUGGACUUCGACCUCCAUCUUGCUUCACUCAUCAUCAUCGUCAUCAACAAUCUCAGUUUUUUUUUUACCUCUUAACCUUCAUAUUACAAGGCUCUCAUCUUUUAGGUACUAUCAUCAUAUUUGACUCCACAAGCAAUCCGCUUAAGGUUUUUUUUUUUUUUUUUUUUUUUUUUUUUUUUUUUUUUGAGAGAGAUAGGUAGCACGCAACCCGUUUCGUUUAUUUUACUUAGAAAUAAACUUAGCUGGAAAUGUGAAUCAACUAGGAUUCGAACUUGGGAUCUCGGAUAUCAAUUACUAAGCCCUUCGCCACUUGCUCUAGAAACGAUCGGAAAGAUAAGAAAUAAUUAAAAUUAGAAUGAAGUUGUCGUAAAAUUCCUACUAGUUUUCUUUACACUUUUGAUCCUCCAACUAUAAGGCGAGUGGUAUUUUGGUCUUUAAAUUUUAAUUUAUUGCAGUUUCUAGUUUGAACAUACUGAAGUAUUAUAAUUAAGUCCCACACCCUAAUUUAGCCGACGAAAUAUCGUCAUAUCGCUGAUAUGAAAGUGAUAUAGUAGUGAUGUAUUCGAUGACACAACAAUAAUUAAAAUAACAUAUUGAAACUACGUACUAAAGUUUAGUCCACUAAACAAUUUGAACCAAAAAUUAUAAUAAAUUAAAAUUUGAGAACUAAACGGCCGCAGCGCCUCGUAGUUUGAGAACCAAAAGUGUGAUUUAGCCGAGAUUAUAAAAAGCAAUAAUGAAGAGAAGCGGAUAACAACAGAGCGAGGCCAAAAAAGAGGUCAAAACACAUCACAUGACUACUUUCCUAUGUAGCUGAACAACCACACCAACCACUGGAAAGUCUCAUAUCAAAUCAUCUCAACUAAUUAUAUAUAUGACCAAAUAUGAAAAGAAAAGUGCUAAAUGUAAAUUCCGUACUGCAUCCAAGAAUUUUUAAAACUCCUUUGUGUUCUUGGUCAAAAAAUAAUAAUAAUAAUAAGACGAAUGAAUGCAUCUUACCUAAGCUAUACAACUACAUAUAACUCCAACGCUAUUGCAAAUUGUGGUUCGCCACAGCUCUGAAUUUGGAGCUUUUGCAACCUUUCUCUGUCCCUGCAUCGCACUGUAAAAAGCGAUCCCCUGAGAGGCCGCUUACACACUGCACCCUAGAGAAAGGAACUAGGAAUACAAAGGCGACAACGGAAGUGAGAAUGAGCGAGAGAUAAAGGAAACAAAAAUUAAACAAAGGCAAGAUUCAGAUGUAACAUCAAAGCAGCAUACGUCUUACCUAAGCUAUACAACAGUUUCAAUUCAUUCAAGUGAUAGUCAGAAAUAUCAUUGUUUGAACUGAGCUCGUGCUUUUGUUUCCAUAAAACUGAUAGAAUAUGCAAGAGUCAUCAGAUUAAAACUAUACAUCAAUAACUAAAGAGCAGCAAAUAACAUUACUUUUCUCGAGAAAGCAGAUGAGAAGCGCUUAUUCCCUUAGUCCAACUCUGAGUUUUCUAAAUCUCAUAUCCCAGUUGGUAUUUCUGCUCGAGCAGAGAGGAAUAUGGGCACGAGAGUACAGUCUGAUCAAGAUGGCGAUCCUUUUUCAUCUUUUUCCUGAUCACGUGGAGAGGGGAGGAGAGACAGACAGCAAUCCAAAUUCUUGAUCCCAUCAAACGGGUUCGAGGUCAUGGGAGAUUGACCACUUGCUAUCACUAAUGGACGCACAUCCUCCCAUUGAAUUCUGCAUUUCUUAUCCAUCACCUGGCCAAUCCUGAGCACAUCAGGCGGUGAGAUAGAAGCACAGAAGGCCCUAGGUUUUAAGAAGCACAGUAGCUGGAGUAUGAGAUAAGAAACCAAAUUUUACAGACCAAAUCAGGACAGUUUCUCCAACUUUUUAUUUUCUUGUCCACUAGCAAACCACGAAGCAAUAUCAUCAUCGUCGUCAUCACUAGUUUGAUCCAAAUCUAAGCUACUUGGACGAGAACCACAACUCAAAACCCCAUUAAUUACUUUUGAUUCCCUCUCGGAGAGCCCUUUGCUUCUCUUGUACACAUCUUCCUUCCACUUCAGUCUUGCUUUAGGGUCUUGAGAAACAGCACUGUUACCUCCUAUUAUAGGAAAAUUAUCAAUAUCCAUGGCACGUUUCCAUGAAUCAAUAUCAUUGCCAUCAUCUUCGUCAUCAUCAUCCAUGGAGCUCCAUGAAUCUGAGUCACUCUCCAGUGAUUGACUCUUCUUUGGAGAAAUAUGUUGCCUAUCAGAUCCAGUGCUCUCUCUAACAAAUGAGAAAGGAGAAUGCUUACUACGUGCUUGACCAUCAAGGUGGGUUCCGGAAAUCUCUUGAUUGUUUAAUGCUUUUGGCCGCUUCCAGUUACAUCUCAAACACAGCGCAUUCCUUCGGAAGUUAACAUAAUUGCACCUGAAAAAUGGGAUUAUACAGAUUUCGCUUUCAAUUAUUACUAAAAGACAGAUAUUUACAUAGUUGACCACCUGCAAAGAUAUCUAUUUUACAUAUACAAAUGAGCAAAAAAUGAAUUUCCAUUUGGGUCCUCCAAAACCAAGGUUUCUCAGAUAAACAACCUCUCACUUAUGCAAAAUGCCCUUCUUUAGGAAAACAUUUACUAAAACUAUACCAGGUUCCCCCCAUGAAUAGGAUCCCCAACUUAAGGGUACUUUUGCAAGAAGUUGCAUUUUCAAGUGUUCAACAUGAAACUCAGAUUAUACAGGGGUACGGAAUAGAAAAUGUUGCAGGGAAAUAUAUUUAACAGCACCGAAGUAAAUAAAUACAUUUGAUGUUCUAUUGACCUACUAUGUUGACUAGUUGGCUUUUGUAAACUACCAUAUACUAGUUGGCUUUUGUAAACUACCAUACUUAGAGGUUAUGCUAUAUGAUUUAAUAUAUUGCCAGUAAUUCUUCUACCAUGACACAACAUACUUAAAAUGAGGUCCCAGGAAACUGAAGAAGAAAAGAAACAGGGAAAUGAUUUGGGUACCCACAAAGGGCCCCCUGUAGGCUGCUAGUGCGCUGGCAAACCAUGUGGUGCCUUGAAAUGCAUGCCUGAACCAGUCAAAACCCCCAACAUAAUGUAUGCCAAGUUGCCAACACAACAGCAGCCCGUAAGUGCAACAUUCUAGGGGACCUGCACAGAAUUGAAAGAAUUAGGAGUAACUUACGAAGGACAUUCCCACUCCCCCAGAUUUAGUAGACGAUUGGUUGGUUUCUCAUGGCAUUGCAAGCAUUUUGUGUUCUUCGCAAAGUUGAAGAAAUUGCACCUGUAGAGGGAGCUAAUAUUAUUAAAGAAGACAGUGGGUCGAUAAGAUAUGUGAGGAAUUCAAGAUAUCAGUAACCUCACUUUUUACAUAUCCAAUCUCCUUUUUUGAGAGGCAGAUGUUCUUGAUCCUCGUGCAGCAUCUUAUAUCUCUCUUGGAAUUCCCCGUUGCAGUGCAAGCAUUUGAUGUUCUUUGCAAAGUUCAUAAAGUUACACCUAACAACCAAGCCAUCAAUCAGAAAAGAUAUAAUAGAGAAAAAAAAAAUACUACAAGAAAUAAAAAAUGUUCUAACAAAUAUACUUGGGACAAAUCCAGUCACCCUGCUUCAUUGGGAUAGCCGAUUGCCCCGAGACCAUAGUCUUUUCAGUACCAGAGCCAAAUUCCUUGAAACCGAGUUCGACCAUUUCCUUUAAAAGUUUCUUAAUGGAGUCCUUCACAGUUUUGUUUACGCAAGAUUGGUUUAUCACCGAGCCCAUGAUACUAUCAAGUCCAUAAGUCAAUAAGACACGCAUGACAUCAAUAGUUCUUCCAACUUCCUUUUUUUGAGCUUUUACAUAAGCUCUCUCACAGUUUCCUCGUAAACUGCAUCGGCUGCAAACCUGUGAGGCAAAUAUUAAAUUGUGAAGAUAAACAAAUAGAUUGUUUUUUUCCUGAGGACUUUUACAUAUAUGUCCCUCCAAAUUCACAUAGUCACAUAUAUUGCUGCGUAAACUCUGAAUUUUCAUAUACCUUCACAAAAGCAUAAUUUCUUGUAAAAAUCCCUCAAAUUGGGGACUCAUCCAGAUUCUAGAACUGGGGGAAUUUCGUAUGUAUAAGAUAGAGGUUUUCGAAGAGAGGCAAUUUUGUAAGUACAAGGGCAUUUAUGCAAGAAAUUAAAUCUUUGAUGCGCAAAUAAAAUAUGUCACAUAAACGAUAUAUUUUAGGAACAUAGCAGAGACGAUCUCUGCAGUGUUAUGGGAACUUACAUCUCCUUCAUCAAUGCCCACAUGUGCCCUUAAACGCUUCCCUGAAUUGACAACUUUUCUGUCUAUGCUGGGGCAUCCACAUUGCACAACGAUGUAAAUAUCCUUUCUCGAUAAAUACCUGCAUGAAUACAAUAUAUGGGAGAAGAUACUGAAAUUUUUUGAUAUAAUAGAAUAUAAGGGAUAAAACAAGGUUUAAAGUGUCGUGGCAUGGGGGUGUGCUACUCUUUCCCUGGCACGAUACAGCACAGGCAUGCUUUCGUGCCGAUGGAUACGCAUGAUCUCCUACUGGCACGCUUUGGUACCAAUUUAUUUCAGUUUUUUUGUUCCAAUAAGUUCUUAAAAUGUUAAUUUAAAAGAUUUAGAUAAAUAAUUAUGAAUAUUUGCUAUGUAUAGCUUACUAUACUCAUCAAUUAACAUACAUGUAAGCUUUUUGUAUGUAAAAUAUAAUUAUACCUAAUGUAGAAUAGAAAAUUAAAAUACAAUAAUAAAAUUCUAAAGUACAAUAAUUAUUUAAAUUUAUGUCUUUAUAUAGAGAUGACUGCUUAAUUUCACAUAAAUUUCGCGGUAGAUCAUAUGGCAUAUUGUCAUCUGCAGAUACAAGAUUUAUUUGACAAUGUUGAUAUAAAUAUUGUUGGUAUUGUGAGAAAGUCAUAUAUUUCCGGUAUAUUUCAUUAUAUUGUCGUAGAUAAUCUGCAUAUGCAAUUGGAUCGUGAAUGUAAUGGAUAACAGUCAUGUGUGGCGUAUGGACUGAAACAUCAUAAGGAUAAAGAUAAGGAUUGUACGGAAUAGAAAAACUAUAAUGUCGGUAUGCAUACGUAUCAGUGGAUGUAAGAUUCGCCAUAUAAGCUUUCACUAUAUGAAGGUACAGAUGGUUAGUAAUCGGAUUGUUGUUGCUCCAAUUGAUGCGAGAUGAAUUGGAUUGUUGUUGCUCCAAUUGAUGCGAGAUGAAUUGAUAUUCACUUGGAGUGCCAUGAAUUGAUACAUUAUAAUCAAAUAUCCCUUCAUAAAGGCCAUGUUGAUAUGAGGGAUACGAUGAUACCGAAGUACUAUCAAACUGUGUGUGCAAAGUAUCAUCCCUUCGUGGAUGUCUAGUUGAUAUUGCCUCCAAACUUUCUCUCAUAUCCCUAUAAUCUUGUUGUGAGAACCUCUUAUCUUUUCUACGAUUAUAUACCACUUCAGAUGUUUGACGUGGUCAAGACCCAUGAUCAGCAUCUUGAGUGGCAUGUGUGAAGUUUUGCUCUUCAGUAAAUAUAAGACCAUCCCCACCCUCCUGUUGUGUUGGUGGAAUGAAGUCGCCACCAUUCUCACUGCUAUCAAUGGUAUCAUCAUCAUCAUUACAUUCAUCUUUAGACCGUGAUAACCCAGAAUAUGCUGGCGUCGAUGUAUCACUAUCAUCAUCUUGUGGGAGUGCAUCAGUUGCAUCUAAUGGAUUCAUCAAGAUCAUACUUUUUUUACUCUUACCACUUCGGAAUUUCGUUGAAGACCUCUUUGCGAUAAGAGUUUUCUCCUUUCCAGAUUGACUCUGAGUACGACGUGGGCAACCAUGUCCAGGUUCUUAUAUAAGAUGUUCAAAUUCUACAUUAGAGUCAUCUGCAGGAUUUUGGGAUUUUUCGUCUAAAGCUGUUUGUUCUUGCACAUUACCUUGAGACCUUCCUAUAUUCUCGUCAACCCAUCUUUUAAUAUCACUAAUUGCUGCUUCCUCAGCGAUUAUUCUAAAUGGUCGUGGUGGAUCUCCGAGCUAAUCAAGUAAUGGGUUCUCUUGAUUGUCUCUAUCUUGUAGUCAAUCAAGUAUGGGGUCUGAUUCAUCAUUUGAUAAAGCCUACAUCCAAGGGAUCAUAAGUUUUUUAUUCCAUUUCCUCAUGCUACUCCUCUUGCAUGCAUUUUAAAUGGAGCCUUAUAUUAUAGUGGAUAUAAAUUAGUUUCUCUAAUCGAGCGUAUGCUAAUCGGUUUCGCACUUUGGUAAGUAUCAGUGCGAAUGUGCUCCAGUUGUGUUUACAUUCACUAGACAUUGUCGUUUGACAUAAGACACGCACAACAAUCUUUUUUAAAUGCUUUGCCGAUCCACCAUGUUGUAACCACCACUCAGCUGCACAAUGAAAAGUUAAAAACAUAUCAAAUUAAUUUAUCGUCGAGUGUAAAAUGUCCCAAUUAUGGAGUUACUUAUUAGAAUCGAUAUUGUGUCUUUUGUUAAUUGUACCCUUUUCGCCAAAAGUUUCAGAGGAUUUACGAAAAAUAUUUAUAACAAAUUAAUCAGCAAUCAACAUAUUAACAUUAAGUAAAUUAAUAAUACAUUGAAAAAGCAAUUAUACCGUAUUUAUGGCAAGAGCGGCAUGUGUUGGAUCACUCUCCAAUCUAUUGAUGACGAUUCGUAGUGCCGUUAAUAGCUCAUCAUCAAAUCCCAGAUUAUAAUGAUUGUGGUACAACGGAUGAAGAUAAUAACCUAUCAUUAAUAAAGAAAUCACUCCAUUAACAAUGCGAGAAUACAAAUGAACAAUUACUAACAAAUAGUUUUGUUAUAAUUUAUAACUUUACUACUAGGUGUAGAUCCCUACUCAUCUGGACAUUCCAACGCCUGUCAAUAAUUUUUAGAUAAGAUUGACACCGCAACGGAUUUUUUUUUUUGAUAUUAUCUUUAGCCAUCCUUAGUUUAUAAUAGGCAUGUCCUAUUUGAGAAAUUUUUUCUUGGUCUACUAAACAGAGGACCGUCAUAGCGACUCCACAGUAUCAACAAUCUUUUUCAUAUAAUCCCAAAACUCGGCGGACAGAAUUAUUUGCUCAAUCGAUAUUCCAUCAGCUAUGGAGGCAUACUGAGAUGUUUGUCAUUCAUCUGAUGCAAACAUAAACUUUAAUCCAUUUUUAUUUUGAAGGAUACUAUUUAAAGCAAUAAAAUUUGUGGCAAAUCGUUUGAUACUACGGCUUACGAGUUCUCGUCCUGUGAAUUUCACCAUCAAAGCAUGGACCCAAAGAUGAAUAUACAAAUACUUAGAUACACGUUGUGCAGUAUCUAUAGUUUUUUUCACCCGAUUUAUUUCACCAAAGUCAGAUAUCAUUAGGUUGAUGCAAUACGCUCUACAAGGAGUCCAAAAUAAAUGUGAAUGCUUUUGCAUUAGUAGUUUGUCAGGUUUCUCUAAGUUUAUACUAUUGUUUGAUACAACUUGUACCAUACAUUUCUCACCAACCUCACCUAAAACUUAUUCCAAUAAUGCAUAUAUGUAGUCAGUAUUAUCAAAUCGACUGGUCGCAUCGACUGAUUUGUGAAAGACCAUCCUACCGUUACAAUAAAUUAAAAAAUUUAUAAUGCUCAUUUUUGUCGAUCCUGUCUAACUAUCACACAUCAAGGUAAUAUCAUACAUCUCCCAUUGUUGUUUGAAAUUUUUUACCUGGUGCAUGAAUAUCAUUGACCUCCGCAUCAAGGUAUUUGCCAGCAAUAUAAGACGUUGGGGUUCAACUCUUGGACCCUCCUUUUGUAUGGUAGCGAUCAUUGAUCUAUAAUAUGGAGUGCUUGCUGCAUGAGAAGGAAUAUGACUGAAGUGAAAAAAAAUUUGCUAUUGCACGACUAAUUUUGUCUUUUUUAUCUUUUUUAGCAUUGUAUUUAUGCGCUGUUGUUGAGCAUCCAGGCCAGAAAAUGCCAUUGGGUCUAUAUCUAUAAUAUUUGGAUGUCUUCCACUUUUUUCUUUUGGUUCUUUUUUAAAUCUUUCGAACAUGCGGCUAACAGAACCACUUCGAAAUGCCAUUAGGUUUAGCUCGAAGUGGUCCUAUUAGCCGUAUGUUCGACAGAUUUUAAAAAAAAAAAAACCAAAAGAAAAAAGUGGAAGACAUCCAAAUAUUAUAAAUAUAGACCCAAUGGCAUUUCCUUGCCCGGAUGCUCAACAACAGCGUAUAGAUACAAUGCUAAAAAAGAUUAAAAAAAAAAAAACAGAAUUGGUCAAGCAAUAACAAAGUUUUUUCACUUCAAUCAUAUUUCUUCUCAUGCAGCAAAUACUCCAUAUUAUAGAUCAAUGAUCGCUACCAUACAAAAGAAGGGUCCAAGAGUUGAACCCCAAUGUCGUAUGAGAUCGCUGGCAAAUACCUUGACGUGGAGGUCAAUGAUAUUCAUGUAUGGGUAAAAAACUUCAAACAACAGUGGGAGAUGUAUGGUGUUACCUUGAUGUGUGAUAGUUAGACAAGAUCGACAAAAAUGGGCAUUAUAAUUUUUUAAUUUAUUGUAAUGGUAAGGUGGUCUUCCACAAAUCAGUCGAUGCGACCGGUCGAUUUGAAAAUGCUGACUACAUAUAUGCAUUGUUUUAACAAGUUUUAGGUGAGAUUGGUGAGAAAUAUAUUGUACAAGUUGUAUCGGAUAAUAGUACAAACUUCAAGAAACCUAAAAAACUAAUAAUGCAAAAGAAUCCACAUUUAUUUUGGACUCCUUGUAGAGCGCAUUGCAUCAACCUAAUGAUGUUUGACUUUGGUGAGAUAAAUCGGGUGAAAAAAACUAUAGAUACUACACAACGUGUAUCUAAGUAUUUGUAUAAUCAUCUUUAUGUCCAUGUAUUGAUGGUGAAAUUCAUAGAACAAGAACUCGUAAGUCUUGGUAUCACACGACUUGCUACAAAUUUUAUUACUUUAAACAGUAUCCUUGAAAAUAAAAAUGGAUUAAAGUUUAUAUUUGUAUCACAUGAAUGGCAAACAUCUCGAUAUGCCUUCACGGCUGAUGGAAAAUCGAUUGAGCAAAUAAUUCUGUCUGCCGAGUUUUGGGAUUAUGUAAAAAAGAUUGUUGAUAAUGUGGAGCCACUAUGCAUGAUCCUCCAUUUACUGGACCAGAAAAAAAUAGCUCAAAUGGGACAUGCCUAUUAUAAACUGAGGAUGGCUAAAGAUAAUAUCAAAAAAAAAAAUCCGUUGCGGUGUCAAUCUUAUCUAAAAAUUAUCGACAGGCGUUGGGAUGUCCCGAUGAGUCGGGAUCUACACCUAGCAGGAAAGUUAUAAAUUAUAACACAACUAUUUGCUAGUAAUUGUUCAUUUAUAUUCUCGCAUUGUUAAUUGAGUGAUUUUUUUCUUAAUGAUAGGUUAUUAUCUUAAUCCGUUGUACCACCAUCGUUAUAAUUUUGGAUUUAAUGAUGAGCUAUUGAAGGCAUUACGAAACAUUAUCAAUAGAUUGGAGAGUGAUCCAACACAUGCCGCUCUUGCCAUAAAUAAGGUAUAAUGGCUUUUUCAAUGAAUUAUUAAUUUGCUCGAUGCUAAUAUGCUAAUUGCUAAUUAAUUUGCCAUAAAUAUUUUUCGUAAAUCCUUUGAAACUUUACACCCGACGAUAAAUUUAAUUUGAUAUAUUUUUAACUUUUAAUUGUACAACAGAGUGAUGGUUACAAUAUGGUGGAUCAGCAAAGCAUUUAAAAAAUAUUGUUGUGCGUGUCUUAUCUCAAACGACAACGUCUGGUGGAUAUGAACGCAACUGGAGCACAUUCGCACUGAUACAUACCAAAGUGCGAAACCAAUUAGCAUACGCUCAAUUAGAGAAGCUACUUUAUGUCCACUAUAAUAUGAGGCUCCGGUUAAGAUGCAUUGCAAGAAGAGUAGUAUAAGAAAAUGAAAUUUAAAACUUAUGAUCCCCUGAAUGCAAGCUUUAUUAAUGAUGAAUCAGACCCCAUACUUGAUUAGCUAUCUGCAAGAAGAGUAGUAUAAGAAAAUGAAAUUUAAAACUUAUGAUCCCCUGAAUGCAAGCUUUAUUAAUGAUGAAUCAGACCCCAUACUUGAUUAGCUAUAAGAUAGAAACAAUCAAGAGGACCCAUUAUUUGAUGAGCCCGGAGAUCCACCACGACCAUUCAGAAUAAUCGCUGAGGAAGCAGCAAUUAGUGAUGUUGAAAAAUAGGCUGACGAGAAUAUAGAAAGGUCUUAAGAUAAUGUGCAAGAACAAACAGCUUUGGACGAAAAUUUUCAAAAUCCUGCAGAUGACUCUAAUGUAGAAUUUGAACAUCUUAUACAAGGACCUGGACAUGGUCGCCCACGUCGUACUCAGAGUCAAUCUGGAAAGGAGAAAACAUCUUAUAUCGCAAAGAGAUCUUCAACGAAAUUCCGAAGUAGUAAGAGUAAAAAAAGUAUGACCUUGAUGGAUCCAUUAGAUGCAACUAAUGCACUCCCACAAGAUGAUGAUAGUGAUACAUCGACGCCAGCAGAUUCUGGAUUACCACGAUCUAAAGAUAAAUGUAGUGAUGAUGAUGAUACCAUUGAUAGCAGUGAGAAUGGUGGCAACUUUAUUCCAUCAACACAAUAGGAAGGUGGGGGUGGUCUUAAUGUCUUAUAUUUACUGAAGAGCAAAACUUCACACAUGCCACUCAAGAUGCUGAUCAUGGGUCCCGACCACGUCAAACAUCUGAAGUGGUAUAUGAUCGUAGAAAAGAUAAGAGGUUCUCACAACAAGAUUAUAAAGAGAUAAGAAAAGGUAUGGAGGCAGUAUCAACUAGACAUCCACGAAGGGAUGAUAGUAUGAUACUUUGCACACACAGUUUGAUAGUACUUCGGUAUUAUCGUAUCCCUCAUAUCAACAUGGCCUUUAUGGAGGGAUAUUUGAUUAUGAUGCAUCAAUUCAUGGCACUCCGAGUGAAUACCAACUUAUCUCGCAUCAAUUGAAGGAACAACAAUCUGAUUACUAUCCAUCUGUACCUUCAUAUAGUGAAAGCUUAUAUAGUGAAUCUAUAUCCACCGAUACGUAUGCAUACCCACAUUAUAGUUCCUUUAUUCCGUACAAACCUUAUCUUUAUUCUUACGAUGUUUCAGUCCAUAUGCCACACUGACUGUUAUCCAUUACAUUCACGAUCCAGUUGCAUAAUGCAGAUUAUCUACGACAAUACAAUGAAAUAUACCGAAAAUAUAUGACUUUCUCACAAUACCAGCAAUAUUUAUAUCAACAUUGUCAAAUAAAUCUUGUAUCUACAGAUGACAAUAUGCCAUACGAUCUAUUGUGACGAUCUAUGUGGAAUUAAGCAAUCAUCUCUAUGUGAAGAUGUAAAUUUAAAUAAUUAUUGUACUUGUAAAUCUUAUUAUUGUAUUUUAAUUUAUAUUCUACAUCAGGUAUAGUUGUACUUUAGAUACAAAAAACUUAUAUAUAUGUUAAUUGAUGAGCAUAGUAAGCUAUACAUAACAAAUAUUCAUAAUUAUUUGUCUAAAUCUUUCAAAAUAAUAUUAUAAGAGUUUACUGGAACUAAAAAAAUUAAAAUAAGUCCGUACUAAAGCGUGCAAGUAGGAGGUCAUGCGUAUCCAUCGGCACGCAAGAGUACCACGUGUCGGCACAGAAGCUUGCCUGUACCGUACCGUGCCAGGGAAAGAGCAGCACGCCCCCGUGCCAGGACACUUUAAAUCUUGACGACUAUCCGGAGCUUUUGCUGCGAAAAAAAGUUAAAAGGAUUUUAAACCCCUAAAGCAGAAGGUCAAAUUUGGAUCUUCCAGUUCAACUGCAGAGAAAGGUUGUUAGGGAAUUAAGGGCUUGUUUGGCCCUACUGUAUGGUGUAGUAUUUCUUUAUGAAGUGUUGGUUGAGCAGUACUAUUAGAAGAAGCAUUAAAUUAAAGCACCCAUAAACAACUCAUGUCUAUAGCAUUAGUGGAAGCACCAAAUUAGAGCUUCUCCUAAUAGCACUUCUCAAAGUAGCACUCCAUGAUGAGCACAACACACUAUAUAGCAGGGUCAAACGCUCUCAAGACUGUUAAACGUAGCAUUUACUAUAAACAAAAUCACGCAAGUUCUUCUACUACUUACUUUCUGAAACAUGCUUGAUUCUUGAACAAUAUUACCAUCACUAACUACAAUUUCAAUAUAAUAAUUCAUUACGCUCAAAGUAGAGCCAUAUUAUUUUGUCUCAUUUAAGAAUUUCCAAAAUCUAUCUAACACUAUUGCAUUAUAGAACUUAGUGCAUUAAUUCCCUGUGGACUUUAGCAUUUCUGCCAGUGGCCUCCUAAAGUUGCAAUUUUGGUAAUAAGCUACCCUAAACAUUGUCAAAUAGCUCAAUAUAUAUGCCCUUCCCUUAAGUAACAUUACUAAUUGAACAGCCGUUUUAGUCGCAUAUCUUGCACAUGAUCUUGUAAAGUUUCAAAAUACAAAAAAACAUACUUCUUCUCUUCUAGCGAAUGAAAUAAAAGAAUCUUAGAGUGAAGAAUACUUUUUUCCGAGUUCUAAAACUUUACAAGAUCACAUGCAAACUUGUGACAAGCACUGCAAUCUAAUUAGCAACUUCACUUGAUGAGAGAAACUAUUGAACUACCAGAUAAAGUUUAGGAAGCUAAUAGCAAAUAUUAAAAGCUUAGGGGUUUAUAAGUGCUGAAGUUCGGAAAACCUACAUAGCUAUCAAGUUAACUUAAUACCUAAAUGGUUGUUCAAUAUAUGCACUCCAUGUGAUGUGGAGAAACAAGCGAUUCCCAAAAUGCAACUGAGCUCUUUGGGACAAUUCAACAAACACAUUGUACGCUCGGCAAUUUACGACACCCAUAUGCACUACGUCAUCAUCAAUUCAAGUACUAGAGAGAGCUCAACAUAUGAUCGCUGUUAACUCCAAAAUUACACUUUUUUAAUGCAUCAAAGGCGAGAUCAAACAAAACAAAAAAUCCAUCUCAUUCACCUGAUGAGAUCAGCGCGAUCCCUAGCGAAACUGAGGCAUGCGGUGCGGAUAUGGUUCGAAUCCUUCGCCCCAUCGGGAGAAACAGGAGACAAAGCGGCGGGAUCCAAGUGCCCCUUCUUGAGGAGGAGCUCCAUGAGCUCCACCCACUCCGGCCAUGGAUGGGACACCUCCACCUCCCUCCCUCCUUCGACUCUUCGUCUUCCUCCUCCUCCUCCUCCUCCUCCACCACAACCACCACCUACUACUCUUUCUCUACGCCCUUCUAGGGUUUGAUCGGGUUCGAAUGGAGGGGAGCGGAGGUGCUCGAGCUCGCGGCGAACGAAGCGGAGACGGGGAGAGGGGAGGGGGGAAUGGGAGAGGAGGCGGCGGCGGCCGCGGAGGAGGGCAUGGGGUGGGAUCAGCGUUACGGCGGCGGUGACCCGACGGUACAUUCACCGGGCAGCGGUGGGAACCUUCAAUCAGAGGAUUGUUUGUAUGGGAAAUAUCUAUUACUAUCUAUUUAUUUUACUAUAUACUAAAGUCGGUGGACUAAUGUUUCUAUACUGCCCGUGUCUUCUGACAGCCUUCGGUGCACCUGGUGCAUCAUAGACCACCCUUCCCUCCUCUCUCUCCCUUUCUCUCUCUAUAUAUAUAUAUAUAGGCUGAGGCUACUAUAUUCUUAUGAGUAUAGAUCCUCUUAUACUCAUAAAUUUUUAACCGUUGAUUGAUGGGAUGUGUGGUUAGGAUGAUGAUGGUUCCCACUUAAAAUGAUAGUGGUCCAGUAGGUAGUUGGUUGAAUAGUAUGAUCUAAUGGAUGAAAAUGAUCAAUAGAAUAAAUCUAAGGGCAAAAAACUUAUGAGCAUACGGGAGUCAAUACUCAUAAAAGUAUAGUAGCCGGACUCAUAUCUAUACAAUCUUACUAUUUGAGAUUCCUAUCCAGCCACGUGGCAGGUUCUCAUUGCCCCUUCUUUUGCUCCAGAUCCAACGGUCUACCACAGUUCUUUAGAAAUCCAAAGGUGCCCGAAACAUGCCCUUUCCCUUUCCCAACAAGCGCUCAAUCUGCGCCGUCCAUUUUGUUCAUCAGAUGGCUCCCUUCCCCCUCCCCUCCGCGCAUUCCUUGCGCGUGCCUCCUCCAAUACCCGAAGCGCCUCUCUCUCUCUCUCAUCGCCUCUCUCUCUCCCUCUCACAACGUCUCUCUCUCUCUCUUACCGCCUCUCUCUCUCUCCUCUGUCCCCUCCAUCCUCUCCUCCCUUUGCUCCUCUGAUGCCUGAGCUGUCCAACGUUAGGCAUCAUGAUUCGGUCGCCUACACCUACCCUACUUGGCCGAUCCAAUCGUUCAAGUUGCUACGCUCGCCGAUCCAACGGCCGCUGUUACCUCCUCUCUCCCCCUGGUCGCCGGUACUACUCUUUACUAUUGUUGAAGCAUAAAAAAAAAGAAAGAGGAAUAAAAGAAAAAAAAAAAAAGGGGAGAGAAAGAAAUAAAAAUUAGAGAUGGUUUAUGAGAUUAUCCAUGCACCAGGUGCAUGGAUAAAAUUUAAAUUUUGAAAAUAUCUCAUGCACCGGAUUGGAAAAAAAUAAUACGUACGGGUAUAUAAAAUAGCAUAUUAGUCUAUUCCCUUUUAUAUAUUUACAAAAUGCCCCACCUUAAUCAAGGUGUAAUAUGAUCAAAGGGAAAGGACUAAUCCGCAAUAUUCCCGCAAUCCCAUCAUAACCGUCCAAAAUACCCCACAAUCUCAUCUCAACCAUCCAAAAUCCCUCCCACGUCCCACGAUAUUUUUGUAACAACCCAUACCCACAUCACGUUCUCCACGCACGAUCUUCAUCAACCACCCGCAUUCCACUCACAAUCCCACAACCCCGUAACCGCCUCAGCACGCUUCCCUCAAAUCGCUCGCGCACUCCCUCAAGUCGGUGACAAAACCACCCAUAAAUACCCGUGAAGAAAAAUCGCAGAAAGAGAGUUCUUUGAAUCUUCGAAAUCUAAUCAGAAAAAUAUCCACCCCGAUUCUGUC
rnacentral:lncRNA from 1 species